AAAAUCUGUCAUUCAGUAAAAUUAAAAAAAUUAUGGUUUUUAUUUCUCUUCCAAUACUAAAUGUUUUCUUAUUGCUCGACAAUUGUACAGAUCCCCAACAUUGUUCAUGAAAAAUGUUGUUCGUUCAAAGAAAAAAUUUCGUUCGCAAUAACGAUGGACAUCUCUAGGAGGAGGUGUAGAUGUUCACAGCAUAGCAACUCAAGUAUACCAGGUAGCUGAGAUGGAUGCAGGUCAGCAGGUUGACCUUGGUGCGCUUAGAGCACUAGCUGCAGCUCCAGGUUCUGAUACAGGAGGGCAGUCUACCCCUGUCGGACUAGGACAACAUAAGUCCCUCCACCUUGAUGAUGACCUGGAUGAAUCAUUAAGAAAAUAUACAGCUAAGUCUUCCCCC